rnacentral:rRNA from 1 species
CAAAAGCGUAUAUUAAAGUUGUUGCAGUUAAAAAGCUCGUAGUUUAACCUUGGGCUUGGCUGGCCGGUCCAUCUUUUUUGAUGCGUACUGGACCCAGCCGAGCCUUUCCUUCUGGCUAGCCUUUUGGCGAACCAGGACUUUUACUUUGAAAAAAUUAGAGUGUUCAAAGCAGGCCUUUGCUCGAAUAUAUUAGCAUGGAAUAAUAGAAUAGGACGUUAUGGUUCUAUUUUGUUGGUUUCUAGGACCAUCGUAAUGAUUAAUAGGGACGGUCGGGGGUAUCAGUAUUCAGUUGUCAGAGGUGAAAUUCUUGGAUUUACUGAAGACUAACUACUGCGAAAGCAUUUACCAAGGACGUUUUCAUUAA